rnacentral:rRNA from 1 species
AGAAGAGACAUGCGCGCAUAUCAAUAAGCGGAGGAAAAGAAACUAACAAGGAUUCCCUUAGUAACGGCGAGUGAAGCGGGAAGAGCUCAAAUUUGAAAUCUUCAAGGUUCUACCUUGACGGAAUUGUAGUUUAUAGAAGUGUUUUCUGUUAGUGGAGUGGCAAAAGUUCUUUGGAAUAGGACAUCAUAGAGGGUGAGAAUCCCGUAUUUGGUCAUUCCUCCUAGCGUUGUGAUACACUUUCAACGAGUCGGAUUGUUUGGGAAUGCAGUCCAAAAUGGGUGGUAAAUUUCAUCUAAAGCUAAAUAUUGGCGAGAGACCGAUAGCGAACAAGUACCGUGAGGGAAAGAUGAAAAGAACUUUGAAAAGAGAGUUAAACAGUACGUGAAAUUGUCAAAAGGGAAGCGUUUGACACCAGUGUUGUUUUUCCGAAAAUCAAUUACGAAUGUUUUGUUUUUAAGAAGUUAUGACUUCAUCGGCUUGCUUCUUUCUUUACGAAACUUUCUUAAUGCACUUUUCGGUUAACAAGUCGACAUCAAUUUCUUUUGUUGUAAAAGGGUAUGAGGAAGGUGGCUUUCUUUUCGGAGAAAGUGUUUAUAGCCUUGUGCCUCUGCAAUCGGAGAGAUUGAGGUCUGCAGCGUAGAUCCUUCGGGGUUAGAUACAUUUGUGCUAAGUUAUAGCUUUUCAUAGACAACUUGUUGACUAUGUUUAGUCUUGUAGCUUACUCGCUUAUGCUAUUUUACCUACGCUUAGGAUGUUGAUAGUCACAGCGUGUAC